rnacentral:rRNA from 1 species
AGGAAAUUAGCUUUGCUAUUUUGCUGACGAGUGGCGCACGGGUGCGUAACGCGUAUACAAUCUACCUUUUGCUGAGGGAUAGCCCAGAGAAAUUUGGAUUAAUACCUCAUGGUAUUAUCGAUUAGGCAUCUAUUAAUAAUUAAAGGUUACGGCAAAAGAUGAGUAUGCGUCCCAUUAGCUAGUUGGUGAAGUAACGGUUCACCAAGGCAACGAUGGGUAGGGGUCCUGAGAGGGAGAUCCCCCACACUGGUACUGAGACACGGACCAGACUCC